rnacentral:rRNA from 1 species
UACGGAGGGGGCUAGCGUUGUUCUGAAUUACUGGGCGUAAAGCGCACGUAGGCGGCUUUGUAAGUUAGAGGUGAAAGCCCGGGGCUCAACUCCGGAAUUGCCUUUAAGACUGCAUCGCUAGAAUUGUGGAGAGGUAAGUGGAAUUCCGAGUGUAGAGGUGAAAUUCGUAGAUAUUGGGAAGAACACCGGUGGCGAAGGCGGCUCUCUGGACCGAUACUGACGCUGAGGCGCGGAAGCGUGGGGAGCAAACAGG